rnacentral:rRNA from 1 species
AUACAGAGGGUGCAAGCGUUAAUCGGAUUUACUGGGCGUAAAGCGCGCGUAGGUGGCUAAUUAAGUCAAAUGUGAAAUCCCCGAGCUUAACUUGGGAAUUGCAUUCGAUACUGGUUAGCUAGAGUAUGGGAGAGGAUGGUAGAAUUCCGGGUGUAGCGGUGAAAUGCGUAGAGAUCUGGAGGAAUACCGAUGGCGAAGGCAGCCAUCUGGCAUAAUACUGACACUGAGGUGCGAAAGCAUGGGGAGCAAACAGGAUUAGAUACCCUGGUAGUCCAUGCCGUAAACGAUGUCUACUAGCCGUUGGGGCCCUUGAGGCUUUAGUGGCGCAGCUAACGCGAUAAGUAGACCGCCUGGGGAGUACGGUCGCAAGACUAAAACUCAAAUGAAUUGGCGGG